CAACAAAAAAAUGCGAUUGCCUUCGGUUUUGGCUCGAAUGUUUUUUUAAGCCCACAUAUUGGCGAUCUCUUUAGUGUCAGUGCUGAGCAGUAUUUUGAACGUACAUUAACCACCUUCUCUCGCCUAUAUCACUUUGAACCUAAAUGGAUUAUUUGUGAUAAACAUCCAGACUACGCGCCUUCUCGUUGGGCGCAGGCUAAUAGUGUCUUAGAUGCUAAUAACGCCAUAGAUACAAGCCAACAACGCAAAUGUUUCUCGGUGCAGCAUCACCAUGCCCAUGUAUUGAGUGUGAUGGCAAUUAAUCAAUAUUGCGAUCCUGUUCUCGGCUUUAGCUUCGAUGGGACAGGACUUGGGGAAGAUGGCCGUUUAUGGGGCGGCGAAGUGCUAUUAACCACGCUCGAUAAAGCAGAACGGUUGGCUCACUUUGAGCCCAUCGCCUUACUGGGUGGCGAGCAAGCGAUUAAACAGCCAGUAAGACUCUUAUUAGCACUCCUAUUUGAACAAAUGAGUCUAAGCGAGGUACUGGCUCUGCCAUUACCUAUACUAAGAUGCCUUAGUCCAAACACACUGACGAAUUUACAUAAAAUCUGGCAAAACGGCAGCGCAAUAGAAAGCUCAUCCGUUGGACGUCUGUUUGAUGCCCUCGCCUGUGCAUUAGGGCUUAUUGAAACCACGCUAUUCGAAGGCCAAGCAGGGAUGGCUAUUGAAGCUGCAGCAAAUCGUGCCGAUAUGCUGGCACUCGAUCCGUUAAUCCUCGUUCUUCCCUUCAGCGAGGGACAAUGGAACAGCAGUGCCAUGUUCAAACAAAUUAUUCAGUUAAUCACAGCGCACCCCUUAACCGCUCACAGACGCGACACGAUAGCCCGCGCCUUUUUACAUACCCUAGGUGAAGCAAUCUGUGUUUAUGCCGCUAAAUACAAACAUCUUCCAACCGUACUUUGUGGUGGUGUUUUUCAAAAUAAAUACCUGUUGGAAUACUGCCUGAGUCAACUCAGUGUCCAAGGUAAUCAGGUAUUAUCUAGUCAACACAUCCCCAUCAAUGAUGGAGGGAUAGCCCUUGGCCAACUGUGGUAUGGGAUUCAUCAAACCGAUUGAAAAUGCGUUAUUUGAUGCACCAGGCGUGCGAUAGAAGAGGCUUUGUUAAAAUGUAAGUAUGCUCUAUGUCCUUAUACUAUUGACAGUUUUUAGUAAAAACGCUGGACAUACAUUAGCCUUUUUGUUCUAUCCUUAUACGUAAAUACGGUGCUUAGCUGAGGGUGGAACCUUGAUUGACAUCAUUACGCAAUCCUCAUUUACUGAAAUUGCCGCACUGCUGGUUAUGGCCGCUAUUAUCGGCUUUAUUGGUAUAUUUUGCGUCAGCCUCUUAUAGUCAGUUUUAUUGUUGUCGGUCUACUCUCUGGUCCUUCCGUUUUAGAUAUAGUGCAUUCAAAAGAGCAAAUUAAUUUACUUUCAGAAUUAGGCAUUGCUGUUUUACUUUUCCUCGUGGGUAUCAAGCUGGAUGUAAAACUCAUCAAAUCUAUUGGUGGGGUUUCAAUACUC
rnacentral:rRNA from 1 species